rnacentral:rRNA from 1 species
CGGGGCAACCUGGCGGCGAGUGGCGAACGGGUGAGUAAUAUAUCGGAACGUACCCUGGAGUGGGGGAUAACGUAGCGAAAGUUACGCUAAUACCGCAUACGAUCUAAGGAUGAAAGUGGGGGAUUCGCAAGAACCUCAUGCUCCUGGAGCGGCCGAUAUCUGAUUAGCUAGUUGGUGGGGUAAAGGCCUACCAAGGCAUCGAUCAGUAGCUGGUCUGAGAGGACGACCAGCCACACUGGAACUGAGACACGGUCCAGACUCCUACGGGAGGCAGCAGUGGGGAAUUUUGGACAAUGGGCGAAAGCCUGAUCCAGCAAUGCCGCGUGAGUGAAGAAGGCCUUCGGGUUGUAAAGCUCUUUUGUCAGGGAAGAAACGGUGAGGGCUAAUAUCCCUUGCUAAUGACGGUACCUGAAGAAUAAGCACCGGCUAACUACGUGCCAGCAGCCGCGGUAAUACGUAGGGUGCAAGCGUUAAUCGGAAUUACUGGGCGUAAAGCGUGCGCAGGCGGCUUUGUAAGUUUGUCGUGAAAGCCCCGGGCUCAACCUGGGAAUUGCGAUGAAGACUGCAAGGCUUGAAUCUGGCAGAGGGGGGUAGAAUUCCACGUGUAGCAGUGAAAUGCGUAGAGAUGUGGAGGAACACCGAUGGCGAAGGCAGCCCCCUGGGUCAAGAUUGACGCUCAUGCACGAAAGCGUGGGGAGCAAACAGGAUUAGAUACCCUGGUAGUCCACGCCCUAAACGAUGUCUACUAGUUGUCGGGUUUUAAUUAACUUGGUAACGCAGCUAACGCGUGAAGUAGACCGCCUGGGGAGUACGGUCGCAAGAUUAAAACUCAA